rnacentral:rRNA from 1 species
CAGUAGCCGCGGGAAUACGUAGGGUGCGAGCGUUAAUCGGAAUUACUGGGCGUAAAGCGUGCGCAGGCGGUUAUGUAAGACAGUUGUGAAAUCCCCGGGCUCAACCUGGGAACUGCAUCUGUGACUGCAUAGCUAGAGUACGGUAGAGGGGGAUGGAAUUCCGCGUGUAGCAGUGAAAUGCGUAGAUAUGCGGAGGAACACCGAUGGCGAAGGCAAUCCCCUGGACCUGUACUGACGCUCAUGCACGAAAGCGUGGGGAGCAAACAGGAUUAGAUACCCCGGUAGUCCCUGUCUCUUAUAC